AGAGUUUGAUCCUGGCUCAGGAUGAACGCUAGCGACAGGCUUAACACAUGCAAGUCGAGGGGCAUCAUGAGGUAGCAAUACCUUGAUGGCGACCGGCGCACGGGUGAGUAACGCGUAUGCAACCUGCCCGAUACCGGGGUAUAGCCCAUGGAAACGUGGAUUAACACCCCAUAGUACUUUUAUCCUGCAUGGGAUGUGAGUUAAAUGUUCAAGGUAUCGGAUGGGCAUGCGUCCUAUUAGUUAGUUGGCGGGGUAACAGCCCACCAAGACGAUGAUAGGUAGGGGUUCUGAGAGGAAGGUCCCCCACAUUGGAACUGAGACACGGUCCAAACUCCUACGGGAGGCAGCAGUGAGGAAUAUUGGUCAAUGGACGUAAGUCUGAACCAGCCAAGUCGCGUGAGGGAAGACUGCCCUAUGGGUUGUAAACCUCUUUUAUAAGGGAAGAAUAAGUUCUACGUGUAGAAUGAUGCCUGUACCUUAUGAAUAAGCAUCGGCUAACUCCGUGCCAGCAGCCGCGGUAAUACGGAGGAUGCGAGCGUUAUCCGGAUUUAUUGGGUUUAAAGGGUGCGUAGGCGGUUUAUUAAGUUAGUGGUUAAAUAUUUGAGCUAAACUCAAUUGUGCCAUUAAUACUGGUAAACUGGAGUACAGACGAGGUAGGCGGAAUAAGUUAAGUAGCGGUGAAAUGCAUAGAUAUAACUUAGAACUCCGAUAGCGAAGGCAGCUUACCAGACUGUAACUGACGCUGAUGCACGAGAGCGUGGGUAGCGAACAGGAUUAGAUACCCUGGUAGUCCACGCCGUAAACGAUGCUCACUGGUUCUGUGCGAUAUAUUGUACGGGAUUAAGCGAAAGUAUUAAGUGAGCCACCUGGGGAGUACGUCGGCAACGAUGAAACUCAAAGGAAUUGACGGGGGCCCGCACAAGCGGAGGAACAUGUG
rnacentral:rRNA from 1 species